rnacentral:rRNA from 1 species
GACGAACGCUGGCGGCGUGCCUAAUACAUGCAAGUAGAACGCUGAAGGCGGAUCUUGCUUCUCCGGAUGAGUUGCGAACGGGUGAGUAACGCGUAGGUAACCUGCCUGGUAGCGGGGGAUAACUAUUUGAAACGAUAGCUAAUACCGCAUAACAGUAGAUGUUGCAUGACAUUUGCUUAAAAGGUGCACUUGCAUCACUACCAGAUGGACCUGCGUUGUAUUAGCUAGUUGUUGAGGUAACGGCUCACCAAGGCGACGAUACAUAGCCGACCUGCGAGGGUGAGAGGCAAAGCUGGGACGGGGACACGGCCAAGAAUACUGCGGGAGGGAGAAGUAGGGAAUAUUCGGCAAAGGAAGGAAGUCGGACCGAGCAACGCCGCGUGAGUGAAGAAGGUUUUAGGAUCGUAAAGCUGUGUUGGAAGAGAAGAACGAGUGGGAGAGUGGAAAGGGCAGACAGUGACGGUAUCGGACCAGAAAGGUACGGCUAACUACGUG